rnacentral:rRNA from 1 species
UACGUAGGGGGCAAGCGUUAUCCAGAUUUACUGGGUGUAAAGGGAGCGUAGACGGCAGAGCAAGUCUGAAGUGAAAGCCCGCGGCCCAACUGCGGGACUGCUUUGGAAACUGCCCGGCUAGAGUGCUGGAGAGGUAAGCGGAAUUCCUAGUGUAGCGGUGAAAUGCGCAGAUAUUAGGAGGAACACCAGUGGCGAAGGCGGCUUACUGGACAGUAACUGACGUUGAGGCUCGAAAGCGUGGGGAGCAAACAGG